AUGAACCCACAAGAAGUGUCCUCAGAGAUGAAGAGUGAGUUCAUCAUUGCGUUUGUGCCCAUCGUGUCUCGACCUAGGACUGAUAUUGAAGUGGCUCUCAAUAAGAUUCCUGAGUCCUGUCCUGUUGUUCUAGUGGUGCUUCAUCACACACUUGAUCCAUAUUUCGACCCUCCAGACAGCAGACGGUGUGUUAACAGGAGAAAUGUGUUCACUGUGGACUGCCUGUUUUAUGAAGACCGAGGUCUACUGAAGUGCCAUCGCAAUGAAGAGGCUCUGAGAGCAGUGAAAGACCAUCUAGAAGCAAGUUAUCAGAUUCCAGAAAUGGUCUGGAGGAUGUUAAUUGUGGGCCUGACUCUAGGGGCUACAAGGUUUCGUCUGCCGUAUGCCAUCUUCCUUGUAGUUGUGUUGUUUCUUCUCCUGGCUUUCCUGGAUAACUUUUUUCAUGUCAAGUGGGUUAACAGGGUUCUUGUUAUAUGCUUCCUCUUAGUGAUCAUAUUCUGUUAGUUAAUUAGUUCAACAUUAAGGAGAAUGUUUUUACCGCUUUAGUCCCUUUACUGCAGGGGUGUCCAAACUUUUUUUGUUGGGGGCCAGAAGGAGAAAUAUAUUUGAAGUCAUGGGCCACAGACCAAUUUAAAUAAUACAUUUUCCUGAUUAUUUCAUUUACUCUUUUCUUGACUUACUAUCUUUAUCUUUGACAGUGUUGUGUAAACUAA
rnacentral:lncRNA from 1 species